AUACGGAGGGUGCAAACGUUGUUCGGAAUUACUGGGCGUAAAGCGCGCGUAGGCGGCUUGUUAAGUCAGAUGUGAAAGUCCACAGCUCAACUGUGGAAGUGCAUUUGAAACUGGCAGGCUUGAGUACUGGAGGGGAUGGUGGAAUUCCCGGUGUAGAGGUGAAAUUCGUAGAUAUCAGGAGGAAUACUGGUGGCGAAGGCGACCAUCUGGCCAGAUACUGACGCUGAGGUGCGAAGGCGUGGGGAGCAAACAGGAUUAGAAACCCCAGUAGUCC
rnacentral:rRNA from 1 species